ACAUUGAAAUACCGGUUCUCAUACGAUCACCGAGGUUAAGCAACGUCGAGCCUGGUCAGUAUGUAGAAGGGUGACAGCUUGGGAAAACCGGCUACUGUAA